UGUCAUACAAGAAGAGAAAUCGCAAACAGCUAGCCGAACCCCUUAAAUCCGUAAUUGUUUGAGUGAUUCCAGCACCAAGUAGCGAUCAGUGCCGCAUUGAGGCGGUAAGUAGUCUAGUUGACUGAUUCACGCAGAUGAAUCCAGCAACUUGAAUCAUGUCCUUCUAGCUCUCAAGGCUGUUGACAAGUUAAAUCCUUUGUACGUUCACAAG
rnacentral:lncRNA from 1 species